rnacentral:lncRNA from 1 species
GCAGGGCAGACAGUUCUGAUGAACGCUAACCAGUAGACGGUAACCACAGUGAUUGGCAGAGCUUGGACGCCAAGUCUAACCUGCUCUGAGCUGAUGUGCACUGUUGGCUCCUGUUGUGCUGCACAGGCCUCCGUACAAACGGAACUCAAGAGCAUACACCACUCAUCUCUGCUAGUGGAUCACCUCUGAACGCUGUCUGCGCUGGGCUGAGGAUGCUCAUUACUGAAGUUCAAGGUUCUUACUGAUGUCACUGGAAAAUUUGUCUCUGCUCUGAGAAAUCACAGGGUAAGUCUGGAAAGUUCAAGGACAGAGAGAAUAGAAGGUUGGUUACUCUUCUUUAAAGUAGUUCUGAGAAUGGGGGAAGGGCAGUUAAAUAUAGGCUUGUUAAUUUAAUACUUUUAAGUACAUUUAUUCUCAUUUUCUCUCAUUCUCAUUGCCUGCUGUUAAAUAUAAAGGUUGUUUGCUUCCUGGAUAAUCCUUUGAUUCACAUAAGCUGUGUGCAUGAAACAUGAAAAUUGAGGUUUUUCAUCUUUAAAUUCUAAUAUUCAACUCAAGCUUUCCCUCUUGUUUAUAGAUUCUUGUAUCUCUAGGCUUUGUAGUGUAUGUUUAAUAACAUUCAGUAUUAAUGGUCUUUUAUAUACAUUUCUUUAGUACACUUGUAUUUUAAUGAUUCUGAGAUGCACUUUUUCAUAUUUCACGCAGCAGAAAUCAGGACUGUCAUAUUAAUUCUUUGUGUGUAUGUGUGUUGGUUUUGUAUUAUUAUAAGAUUUAUUUAUUUGUUUGUCUGUUUAAUGUAUAUGAGUACACUAUAGCUGUCUUCAGACACACCAGAAGAGGGCAUCAGAUCCCAUUACAGAUGGUUGUGAGCUACCAUGUGGUGGCUGAGAAUUGAACUCAGAACCUCUGGAAGAGAAGUCAGUGCUCUUAAUCGCUGAGCCAUCUCUCCAGUCGCUGUCAUGUUAAUUCUUACUAAUUAGCUCUAAACAACUAUUAAAGAGAUCAAGUAAUCUGUAUAAAGCAGAUACAGCAAAUAUCUGUAUAGCAAACACACACACACACACACACACACACACACACACAUGCUUAACAAAGUUGAGAGGCACACACCUCUCAACUUUCACGAUCAUUUUUCAUGUUCUCUUAAGCAGACGCUACUCAUAUCGUCUACCGGUAAACUAUCUCCAGGGUCAAUAGAGAAGACACAACAUCUUAUUUCAUAUCAAAUAGGGCACAUAAUUUCAUAUGUGUCUUAGUAUUUUUUCUUUACCCCUAAAUUUAUGACUCUAUAAAUUAUAUUUCUUAAGAAAUUAAUUUGUUCUAAAUUAUGUGCAUAGGUAACUUCUCUUUGGGCUAAAAAAUGUUGUUCAUGUUAGAGGUUUUGAAAAACCACACUCAUACCCAGAACCAGACAGAGGGACCACCCUUGAUAAUUCAACUAGUUAGUAUCAGCUUGUGGUGGGUGAAAGCAGCCACAAAUAACAGUUUUCUAACUGUUAUAAACAAUGUAAUUCAUUAUCUGGGAGACUUUAGCAACAGAUAGUUCAAGAAGAUAAUGAGAUUAAUUUUCUUAUUGCCACAUCAAAGUGUGGUAUCCCCCAGCCUCAUGCUCAUGUAUCUGAAUGCUCAUUCCCAGUUGAUGGUGCUAUUUAAGGAGGUUCAGGAGGUGUGGCCUUGCUGGAGGAAGUGUGUCAACUGUAUGUGGGCUUUGAGAGUUUAAAGGCUCUAACCACAUCUAGCUGGCUCUCCCUGCGUCCUGCUUGCCACUUAAGACAUGAGCUCUCAGUGUCCUGCUCCUGCUGCCUCUGUCCUGCACUUAUGAAAGCAAACCCUCUCAAAUAGUUACCAGGCAAACUAAAUCCUGUCUUCCAAAAGUUGCCUCACUUGUGGUGUUUCAUCACAACAGAAAAGUAGCUAGCACAGGAAGGUUCAACACUGGAAGGCUCAAGUAGUCUUGUGCCAUAGCCAAAGACAGACCGCACACAGCAGAGGUGCCAGAGCUUAUGAAGGAACUGAAAAGUCCCCAUCCCUUUGUGAUUCCAUGGCCAUCUCACUGACAGAGAAAGGUGUUCUCCCCUGUUUGGGGUAAAGAAACUUACUCUGAUGUCAUUAGUAAGGAAUCACUUCACUUGCCUUCCUGUCUGAUGUCUGAUGAUGGCGGUAAGCGACUAUUAACGAGCACAAUAGUAGUAUUAACUACACUGUUGUUCUUUUUGGAAGUAUCCCUUGUAUUUAUAAACAGGGGAGAAAGGUAAACAGUAAAGUAGCCUCAGGAACUCUGGGAAGUGGUAAAGAAGGUCUCAUUGUAAUAGCUGAUGUCAACCUUGGGAGUGUCUGUUGUCCCUGAAGGGCACCUGGUGGCAUGGUGGUGAAGGUGCAAGACGUUGACAUUUAAGGUCUUGAGCCUGUGUAUGCGUAAUGCAGUGCAUGUAUUUGUAUCUCUGGUUUUAACCAAGUAAUAUAUAAAUAAAUAAACAAACAAAUAAAUAAAUAAAUAUUAUAAUUAAGUAUAUGAAAAGUUUAUAGAACAUAGAGAUAGCCAUGCAAUGUUUAUUUACUUUAAGCUAAGGAUUAAAGGGCUUAAAGUCAAAAGAAAUGUGAAAGCUUAUAAACUGAAAAUCUUACAAAGCUAUAAUAUAUGCUAUUUUGAUAAAUUGUGAAAUGUUGUUUAGUCAUCCAGCUCUGGAAGUGGGCUUGCCCCUCCCCAUUUCAGAGUUGAUGUUCGUCUCAAAGUGUUCUCUACAGCCCCUUGUCUGGGGCUAGGCUGAGCCCCUAACUCUGUGUGCGGGUGUGGGCGAUAACAGCAAACAUUCCCAGAGUAUAAACAGCUGAAAGGUGAGCCAUGUCCAAGAGCUGUUACUAUUGCUCAUUCGUGACAUAAUGCCGCCUCCCGUGGGAAAGAGAAGCCAGAAGUUCAGCCAGGAAAGCUCAUCUUUAGAGAGGGCAGAGAGGCCUUCCUCAAAGGAAGCUUGAGAUGGCCGCUUCGGUUUCCCCAGUUGGCCGCUACUGGAAGCGACUGUCAGAUCUGACGAGGUCAUCUCUCUCUCUCUUGCACAUGUGUUGUUUUACUUGGAAGCCUCCCCCAAGAGGACACUCUGCCUGGGACUCUCUCCAUCUAGAACUCUAGCUACUGCCUUAAGGCUUCCCCAGUGGUUUCUGAUGGACGUUUAUUAGGCCCUGAUUUGCUGAUGCUAACUUUCUGCUGUUUAUUUGUUCUGUUUCUUGGAAGCCUCACCAAAGAGACUUCAGUGACUGUUUCAAUAAGGCUUCCCCAGUCGAUUUCUGCUAGAUAUGGUGAACACAGUAUUUGAUGACUUUUUUUUUUAACUUGUCUGUCUGUCUGUCUGUCUGCCUAUAAACCUAUCACUUGCUAUUAAUUCUUUUACUUUGCUUGCUGUGACUUGAUAAACUCAGUCACUCAAAACCAGAUGUAUACUUCUCAUAGAUCAUUCUCCAGACCAUAUAAAACAUAAGCUAGGGCCAAUUUGUUAUUGGAAGAAAAACUUUAUUUAUUUAUUUAUUUAUUUAUUUAUUUAUUUAUUUAUUUAUUUAUGAGACAGAGACAGUUAGAGAGAAAGAGAUAGAAUACAGAGAGUCAGUGAGAAUAUGUGCAUGCUCAGGAGUAUGACUCUGUGAUUGAAAUAGACAUCAGGUGUCCUAAUUUAUCCUUCAUUCUUU